rnacentral:misc_RNA from 1 species
UCCUCCAAUGCACAAUAAAGCAUAACAAGUACAACAUGGCGAGUCACAUGGACGAAAGCAUGACUGACGAGGAGCUGAGACAAGCUCUUAUUCAAUAUAAAAUAGACGCUGGGCCCAUUAACAAGUCAACUCGUCCACUAUACAUUGCAAAAUUGAGAGAAAAGCAGCCUCCUAUUCAAACACAGGGUAUGGGUGUGGCUAAACUUCCUGAACAUGAAGAUGAGAAACCAGUACCACUUGAUUUGUAUAAAUGUCUCUGGAAUCAACUGAAUGAUCCGUAUCACAUAGCAUCCGACACGGUCAUAAUGUUCAGCGAUGGCUGCAUUCUUUAUGUCUGUAGAGGGAUACUGGCCUCAAUUUGUAAAGGACUCAAAGUCUUGCUCUAUAAUCAGGAACCUCCGUAUCCAGUUCAACUUAUAGCUUCAAAUGGACUCCAACACAUUGUUUGGGUUCGUGGUAAUGAAUUCAUCUCCGACUUAAAAGAGAAAAUCAGUAUGCAGGAUCGCACUAUUUUACACAAUCAGCUUAAACUGUUUCACAACGAAACUGAGCUCCAAGACAAAGCAACUUUACGAUCACAAGGUAUAGCGAGUGGAUCGCUUAUAAGAGUCAUGGUCCUGUCGUUGGAGAUGGUCCAAACCCGCUCUCCUUUCUCUGUCCAGUGUCGCAUGGCUCAACCCUCUCCCUCUCUCUCCAUCACUCACUUUAAACUGGGUAUGGGCAUGGAAGGGAUUCUGCCCUUGGUACCUAACGGUUUACACAAUCCUCAGGUACCCAUUCCGCCUCAGGUCCAGCAUAUACUAUGCGUUCAUGAUGUCCCCAGUGGCCCGUUUACGCUGAUGGUGGGAUUCCUGUAUAAUGGUACAUUGCCUACUGUGACAGCACCAGGAACUGAAGCUGUAGUCUUGACUAUGUGCCUAUCACUUGGCAAGGCAUUCAAUCUACAUCCUUUCAUUAUUCAUUCCUCCUAUGAACUGAGAAAGAUAUUAAAACGUAAUUCAAUGCCCCAGCAGAUUCAGCAGGUAAAGAAAUGUGCAGAAGCCCUUGGAAUAGCUUCUCUAUUGGAGGAGACCUUACAAAACAUUUGAACGUUCUCUUUGAUCCCUUGCCCACUACUAUCGCUCUUUUGUUGUGGCGAUAAACGGGAAGUGAUUGACUCUCUGUGCUUAUAAUAUUACACGCAUGUAUGCUCUCAUUCAUUUAUCUCUUGUGUUUUAUUACAUUUAUUCAUGAUAUCUCUUAUAAUGUAAA